UAGAGAAUCCCGAGAACACUGUGGCAGUAGGGGUUCAAUACCCUGACAUGGGAGGAGUUGGUUCAGCCUCUGCCCGUGCUUGGGAACUCAGAACCUCCUUGAAAAUUGUUGCACGACAAGAAGAAGAAGAAGCACGAGCAUGGCCAUGACCAUGACAGUAGCAGCAGCAGAGACAGCGAUUAUGUCAUGUGUUUCUGCUUUCUUAAAACUUAACCAUAUAAUCAUUAUGUGACAUUUUAUUGCUGAUUAAUAAAAAUGGUAAUAUAUUACUUGCAUUUUCUGAUGUGUUGAUUGUUUAUCAUGCUACCUGCAGGUUCAGCAGUACUGCAUAAACUGUGGAGUAUGCAUGGGCAAGUACUUUUGUGCUACAUGCAAAUUCUUUGAUGAUGAUGUAAGUUC